rnacentral:lncRNA from 1 species
UGCCUCAGUCUUCUACCCUGAAGUAUUUUCUGAUCACCACACCAAGCAAGGCUGUUGGGAUCUUUUAGGUUUCCAAAACCUGAUGGAGGAAUUUGGUCACGUCUUCAUCUAUUGCAAGUGACAUUUGGGCUGCCCCAUCUGCAAAACACCUGAUGGCAUCAUGAGCUGCUCUGGGAAACAUCUGGUCUUGAGAAGUGGAAACAACCUGGGAUUCCUAUUUUUGGGGUUUGCACUGGUUCCACCCACGAUGGAAAAUGCUGGAAAUGAGAAGAGUGAAAAGCCCAAACUGGUGUCAGGCUGACAAGGCUUCUCCUGGCUUUUCAAAGUGGUCACUGUGAAUUAUCAGGCCUGGCAGGUAAAUACAGUGGAG